UCGAGAGGCUUCGGCAAUGGGCGCAAGCCUGACGACGCAACGCCGCGUGGAGGAUGAAGACCUUCGGGUCGUAAACUCCUUUCGAUCGAGACGAAUGGCCUCCGGGUGAACAAUCCGGAGGAGUGACGGUACCGAGAGAAGAAGCCCCGGCUAACUCCGUGCCAGCAGCCGCGGUAAUACGGAGGGUGCAAGCGUUGUUCGGAAUUACUGGGCGUAAAGCGCGUGUAGGUGGUCGAGUAAGUCGAAUGUGAAAGCCCCGGGCUCAACCCGGGAAGUGCAUCCGAAACUGCUCGACUAGAGUCCCGGAGAGGAAGGCAGAAUUCCCAAUGUAGGGGUGAAAUCCGUAGAUAUUGGGAGGAACACCGGUGGCGAAGGCGACAUCCUGGACCAAUUCUGACGCUGAGGAGCGAAAGCCAGGGGAGCAAACGGGAUUAGAUACCCCCGUAGUCCCUGAGCGGGCUGGCAAGGCGCAU
rnacentral:rRNA from 1 species